rnacentral:rRNA from 1 species
GGUGAACGCUGGCGGUAGGCCUAGCACAUGCAAGUCGAACGGCAGCACAGUAAGAGCUUGCUCUUACGGGUGGCGAGUGGCGGACGGGUGAGGAAUACAUCGGAAUCUACUUUUUCGUGGGGGAUAACGUAGGGAAACUUACGCUAAUACCGCAUACGACCUACGGGUGAAAGCAGGGGAUCUUCGGACCUUGCGCGAUCGAAUGAGCCGAUGUCGGAUUAGCUAGUUGGCGGGGUAAAGGCCCACCAAGGCGACGAACCGUAGCUGGUCUGAGAGGAUGAUCAGCCACACUGGAACUGAGACACGGUCCAGACUCCUACGGGAGGCAGCAGUGGGGAAUAUUGGACAAUGGGCGCAAGCCUGAUCCAGCCAGACCGCGUGGGUGAAGAAGGCCUUCGGGUUGUAAAGCCCUUUUGUUGGGAAAGAAAAGCAGCAGGUUAAUACCCCGCUGUUCUGACGGUACCCAAAGAAUAAGCACCGGCUAACUUCGUG